rnacentral:rRNA from 1 species
UACGGAGGGUGCAAACGUUGUUCGGAAUUACUGGGCGUAAAGCGCGUGUAGGCGGCUACGUGUGUCGGGCGUGAAAUCCCAUGGCUCAACCAUGGAAGUGCACCCGAAACUGCGUAGCUAGAGUCCUGGAGAGGAAGGUGGAAUGCUUGGUGUAGAGGUGAAAUUCGUAGAUAUCAAGCGGAACACCGGUGGCGAAGGCG